rnacentral:rRNA from 1 species
AGAGUUUGAUCCUGGCUCAGAGCGAACGCUGGCGGCGUGCCUAACACAUGCAAGUCGAGCGAGAAAGUAGCAAUACGAGUACAGCGGCGGACGGGUGAGUAACACGUAGGUAAUCUACCUUCUAAUGGGGAAUAACGUUUCGAAAGGAACGCUAAUACCGCAUGAGGAUUUUGAUCGUUGGAUUAAAAUCGAAAGGUGGCUCUCGCAAGAGGCUAUCGUUAGAAGACGAGCCUGCGUCCGAUUAGCUAGUUGGUGAGGUAAUGGCUCACCAAGGCGACGAUCGGUAACUGGUCUGAGAGGACGACCAGUCACACUGGAACUGACACACGGUCCAGACUCCUACGGGAGGCAGCAGUGGGGAAUAUUGCGCAAUGGAGGAAACUCUGACGCAGCGACGCCGCGUGGGUGAUGAAGGCCUUCGGGUUGUAAAGCCCUGUCGGCUGGGAAAAAGGUAGUCGUGCUAAUACCACGAUUGCUUGAUGGUACCAGCAAAGGAAGCACCGGCUAACCCUGUGCCAGCAGCCGCGGUAAUAC